UACGUAGGGGGCAAGCGUUGUCCGGAAUCAUUGGGCGUAAGCGUGCGUAGGCGGCCCGAUAAGUCUGCUGUAAAAGUCAACGGCUCAACCGUUGAAAGCCGGUGGAUACUGUCGGGCUAGAGUCCGGAAGAGGCAAGUGGAAUUCCGUGGUGUAGCGGUGGAAUGCGCAGAUAUCAGGAGGAACACCUAUAGCGAAGGCAGCUUGCUGGGACGGUACUGACGCUAAGGCACGAAAGCGUGGGGAGCAACAGG
rnacentral:rRNA from 1 species